rnacentral:tRNA from 1 species
GGCCUCGUAGCUCAGCGGAUAGAACAUGCGCUGUAUAACAGUGUUGGCGGCGUCCACGCGUGGGUUCGAAUCCCACCGAGGCUA